AUGUUCCACUGGGGCAAGUGGAAGAAGAGGAUGGGAGCGAGCGCCUCCUCCUCCAAGAGACCCGUGUUCGACGAGCGGGAGGACGUGAACUUUGACCACUUCCAGAUUCUCCGGGCGAUUGGGAAGGGAAGCUUUGGCAAGGUGUGCAUUGUGCAGAAGAGAGACACGGAGAAGAUGUAUGCCAUGAAGUACAUGAACAAGCAGCAGUGCAUCGAGAGGGACGAGGUCCGCAACGUGUUCCGGGAGCUGGAGAUCCUGCAGGAGAUUGAGCACGUGUUCCUGGUGAACCUCUGGUAUUCCUUCCAGGACGAGGAGGACAUGUUCAUGGUGGUGGACCUGCUGCUCGGCGGGGACCUGCGCUACCACCUGCAGCAGAACGUGCAGUUCACGGAGGAGACGGUCAGGCUGUACCUGUGCGAGAUGGCCCUGGCGCUGGACUACCUGCGCAGCCAGCACAUCAUUCACAGAGAUGUAAAACCAGACAACAUUCUCCUGGAUGAGCAAGGUCACGCACACUUGACAGAUUUUAAUAUUGCAACAAUAAUUAGGGAUGGUGAAAGAGCAACUGCGCUAGCUGGAACAAAGCCAUACAUGGCUCCAGAGAUUUUCCAUUCCUUCCUGAGCGGCGGCACGGGUUACUCCUUCGAAGUGGAUUGGUGGUCGCUAGGAAUCAUGGCUUACGAACUCCUCCGUGGCUGGAGACCGUAUGACAUCCACUCCAACAACCCGGUGGAGUCCCUGGUGCAGCUGUUCAGCACCGUCAGCGUUCAGUACUCAUCCACGUGGUCAAAGGAGAUGGUUGCUCUGCUACGAAAGCUGCUGACGGUGAACCCCGAGCACCGCUUCUCCUGCCUGGCCGACAUCCAGACGUCGGCGUACCUGUCCGCCGUGCCCUGGGGCGACGUCUGCCAGAAGCGGCUGGAGCCGGGCUUUGUCCCCAACAAGGGCCGGCUGCACUGCGACCCGACCUUCGAGCUGGAGGAGAUGAUCCUGGAGUCCAGGCCCCUGCACAAGAAGAAGAAGAGGCUGGCGAAGAACAAGUCGCGGGACAACAGCAAGGACAGCUCGCAGUCCGAAAAUGACUAUCUCCAAGAAUGCCUUGAAGCUAUCCAGCAAGACUUUGUCAUCUUUAACAGAGAGAAGUUGAAGAAGAGCCAGGAGCAGACGAGCGAGUCCGUGUGUGCCCCUGAGUCCACCACCGAGGCUGAGACGGAGGCUGAGUCCGAGACCUCCAACCUGAACAUGUGCAGCUCCGUGUGCUCCUCGGCGGGCAGCAGCUAGGCUGAGGCCGCCCUGCAGCACCCGGCACAGCAGCUCAUCCCGCAGCGUUGUAGCAAAACAGUUCUCGCAGAGCUGAGCUCUGGGUUUACACGGGCACCAGUUCCACACGCCGAGGUGCCGCCGUGGGUAAGGAUACUCGCUAUGCAACUUGUCGGAGGAAGGAGACCUAUUUCACUACUUGUUCUUUUUUACUGUCAGAUAGCUGAUCUGGUUUUAAUACGAUGUGAUGGCACCAAGAGAAGUUACAUCUCCAUCACGGGAAGCCAGCAGGAGGAAGGCUGGGUGGGGGGCUCACGCUGUAUGCGGCACUGCUGCUAGCGAGGGCUGCGCGGGGCCGAGCGCUCCACUGUGAGCUGGGGCUGCCAGCAGCUCGGGGAUGGCCCAGCAGCUCGGGGAUGGUGUAGGCACACCGUUGUCCCCUCACCACUGCCAGAGUGUCUUUCCUGACUCGGGGUAAAUAAAUGUUUUUUGUGCACUUCUGGGGCUGGGUAGUGAUUAAAUACGUGAGCAGUAUGUGAGGUGUAUUUAAGAUGCUUGCUUCCUUCACGUAGCUGCUGUGAGUGCUGGGUCGCACCGCUGGGGCUCUGUGUGCCCGUGUUGGUGGGAUGCGUUUUGCCACCGGUUCAGGAUUUUUUGGAAGCAGUGUGCGUCACCUUCCAGUGCUGCUUGGCCACGAAAGGAGGGCAGUGUCUUAAUUUACCCUUCAGUUUUCUCUGUUCUCAGUGUAAAGUAGAAGUGCUGUACAUAAUUUACCAAAACCUGUUUUUAUCUUCUCAGUAAGACGGGAGCUCUCUGUCGGCUCCAGCUGCGGGCGUUGCCUUUCUCCUGGUUUCAGAGGCCUUCACUCUGUUGGUUGCUCAAUCUGCUGCAUUGUGGCUUUUGGUUACUGUUGUUAAACAUGGGCCGUGGGUUCUGCUGCAACGCAAAACCGUUGUCAUGCACAGAUUGAUGGCAGCAACGUUCACCUUAAAGCUAGCGAGAGCUGUUUGCUGGCAGACGCUAAGGAGGUGGCUGGGUUUGCAUCCUUGUUCUAUAUUUGUAACACAAAAAUGCAUAGAAGAGGUUUUUAAACAGAUGCAGACUCUUUUAGGACAAACACUGCUGCGUUUUUAGUUUCUGUGGAUAAAAUAGAACGGCUUAACCACGUAAAACUAUUUUAUAUGAAAAAUGACACUCAACAUUUAUUUUCCACAGUUUUAUGUGGAAAUCAGUACGUGACCGUGUUUGUGCAGAACCACACGUUCAUGAAGGGAGGGCAGGGACCUGGGCUCCGGGGCUGCUGCGAUCGAUGGGGGGAGCUCUGCGCAAAGCCCGGGGCCACGUCCCGGCUGAGACCCCGCCGCUCUCCGGGCCGAGCUGCAGCCCUGGUCACAGGGCCGUGCCCGCACACCUGCCUCUUGCUCUGGCUCUCUCCAGCCCUGUCCCACGGGCUGUUCCUUUCCCCCUGCACCUCCCGCAUUGUGCCUGCGGCGGCCCUGGGUGGUGCCCAGCAGUGCUGGGGGUACUGCACGGCUGCUGCCCCGGGGUGAGAUGGAAGCACACGCGUGGGAGGCCCGACUGCGGAGUGUGUGUCUGCCCCAGAGCCUUCUGCUUCUGCGCCUCGCCCACGAGGACGGGUGCCACGGCAGGCUUCAGGAGCAUUGUGCCGUUGGGACACUGUGAGUACAGCAUCACUGGGGUACCCGUUUCCAGCAUGGACGUGUACUUCGCCGCUGCCCACUGCAGAGCAGGUUCUAUCGCUGCCCAUUUACUUAUGCAUAGACCCAGGAGAUGAAACUGAAAGCAAAGAGUAAUUGUGAGAAGGAGGCACAGCAAUAGUGCGUCAGUCCCACGUGGUCUUGUUUGGGAGUGCAGCUGUGCUCAGCUGUGGGGCUGUGCUCUGCAGGGGGCUGUGCCGGCCCCGAGCCCUGUGCUGUGUGGAGCCUGGUUCAGCGCCCGCUGUGAGCAGAGCUCGUGGGGCAGCGUGGGGCACCGCUGUUAUCGCAGCCCCAGCGCAGAGCCUGGAGCAGCCGGUCUCCACAGUAACGUUCUGUAUAUACCUAUCUAAAUACGUGUAUUUUUUGUAUGACGGAUUUAUACGGGGAGUGCCAUUACCCGCUGUGAGACGUCUACAUCGCCUAUGAAUUAUUCUCCUUCAAUUCUUGCCAUAAGAUUUUUUUCUUAUCGCUGUUGUAUUUGGGAGUUUUGCAGAACUGCGUAUUUUCAGGUGUUUCCAUUGAAUUCCGUAGACUUUGCUGGGAGUUUUUUGUGUAGAAACCAAUGCCCGGUUGGGUCCGGAUGGGUCUUUUGUUGCCAGUUCUUCAUCACGCUGCACCGUGGCGAGAAGAGAGUAAAAGCAGUAAAACAACGGCAGAAAUGAAGUCGUACGAACCUGAGGUUGGACCGUGCCGAAACCCUGAUGCCUUGGUUUUGGCAGUCAUUUCUGAGUUACUGCUCUGCAGGAGAACAACAACGAGUCCUGUAAAGAGUGCGUGCUGCAACCCAGUUCUUGCUUCCACAUCGCAGACAGCCACUGCUGAGCAUCCAGCCCACAGAGUUAGCAUCACAGCUGCAGCGUGCCAUCCAUCUGCUGCGUGUUCACUGCUGCUCUGGGAGCUCCUCAGCAGCACUGCGGUACAGCUGGGCAACGAGCGGCUCCGUGUGCCAGGUAUUUCUUCAUGAGGGGGUCCCUGCCCCACAGAGCCCAAAGGUUUUGGACCUGGGUCUUGUGCAGCCACUGCCCGUCCCUACGCUGCGUUGCAGAGCGCUGCGAUGCUGCAUUGUGCUGCGGGGUGCAGGGUGACCCCAAAAAGCAUCUCAGUGCUGAAGGUUCCUUGGAAACUCAGCCUGACAGCCCGGGUCAGCGGGAUGCUCCAGCCAUCCCAGAGCAAGGUAAUGAGAUGAGCUGCAGGAACCCUGUCAUGGUGCUCAUUUACUGUGGUUCUUGGUGCAGUAGGCUUACUUGCUGGCACUCAGCACUGUGGGCAUCUACGAAGAUGUAGUCCUUAACUGAGAAAGGGUGAAAAGCUGCCCGGCCUAAGGAGAGCAGGGCAGCGCUGCAGCCUGGCUGCCGGCCCCAGGGCUGGGAUCGCUGCUCCUCAGUGGCUGCAGCCAGCGCCUGUGGGGCUCUCGCAGGCGGCCCUGCAGCUCGUGCCCUGCAGCUCAUGCCGUGUGGUGCCAGCACAGCGCCUGCACUCAGCAGCUCCCCUCUCCCUGGCUGAGCCAGCGCCUGCCAAUGUCUGACCCAGAGCCCGCAGCGCUGUCAGAGGGAAUUAGGGCCGCACAGGCUGAGUGCUGCGGGUGGGGUUGCUCCCUGCACGCACCAGACACACUGGCAGACGGGCGGAUCUUCAGGACAGGGCUCAGACAAAUCGCUGGGACAACCGCAGGCUUCUAACCUUGCUGCCCCAUUCCAAGGCCGGGGUGCCCCUGGGCCAGCACUGCCUCUGCCCCCCAGGCCCCUCCUGUAGGAACUGAAGUGCUGCAGCAGAGCCCUGGGGAGGAGCCACCCACAGCUGUGCCGGGGGAGCAGCAGGGAGGAGUGGUCCCCUGCCCAGGUACCCUUAAAUGAAGGAGCCCAGCUGCCAGGGAUUGCAGCACUCCCCUCAUUAAGAACAGCUGUGCUGGAGCUUGUGCGAGACCAGGGAACCCUGUGCUGGGGUUACUGCUGCCUUUGUCCUCGCUGGCUGCAGUUUCAGCAUUGUGUAGUUUGGGGAUAUGAGUUCAAGUGAGUGUUGCCCCUGUGAAUGGUUUUUGCAGUUUUCAAAAAUGCUUUUAUUUUCACGGAAGCAAAACACUGCUUGCACACAAAAUAAAUAGAUGUUCAACA